GACGAACGCUGGCGGCGUGCUUAACACAUGCAAGUCGAACGCUGAAGCUCAGCUUUUGUUGGGUGGAUGAGUGGCGAACGGGUGAGUAACACGUGAGUAACCUGCCCCCUUCUUUGGGAUAACGCCCGGAAGCGGGUGCUAAUACUGGAUAUUCACUGGUCUUCGCAUGGGGGUUGGUGGAAAGGGUUUUUCUGGUGGGGGAUGGGCUCGCGGCCUAUCAGCUUGUUGGUGGGGUGAUGGCCUACCAAGGCUUUGACGGGUAGCCGGCCUGAGAGGGUGACCGGUCACAUUGGGACUGAGAUACGGCCCAGACUCCUACGGGAGGCAGCAGUGGGGAAUAUUGCACAAUGGGCGCAAGCCUGAUGCAGCGACGCCGCGUGAGGGAUGGAGGCCUUCGGGUUGUGAACCUCUUUCGCUCAUGGUCAAGCCGCAACAAUGGUUGUGGUGAGGGUAGUGGGUAAAGAAGCGCCGGCUAACUACGUG
rnacentral:rRNA from 1 species